CACUCGUGGCUUGAUCUCAGGUGGUGAUAGGGAGGACAGGGAGGUGGGGGUGACUGCAUUUGGAUAGAUUUUGAAGGAGAGGGCUAGGACUUGCUGCUUAAGCAGAUGCAGGGCAGAGAGAAGGCGAGACUCCAACACAGGGUUAGAGUGCGGGGAGAAUGGGCAGCCAGUUCAACUGCUUUCAUACGAACUGGUGGACUUUAAGUUUUGUAAACAGGACAUGUGAAUACAGUCAAGGUUGAUCACAAGUGGUUAUAUUGAGAAGUUUUUAAUAUAGAGGCAUUUAGGGACAUCUGGAGUGUCCCAGGAGCUUUAUGUGUUGACCUGGCCCCUCACCAGACCAUGAAACCAUAUUCUCUGGAAGGGACUCCAGCUGAAGUAUUUUCAAAGCUCCACAGACAACUGAAACAGCAGCCAAGGUUGAGACCACAGUGCUGGGCUCCUCCUGCUGGGGCACCUCCUCCUUGUCUUCCCACCCCGACUGGCCUCUUCUUGCUCAAUUGCUGCUGUCCCCAUUUUAUAGAGGUGACUUGCCCAACAUUCCAGUAACUAGAAGUGGCUGAGUGGGAGCUUCACUAACCCCAGCAAACCAGCUGCCCACCUGCCCUCCACUAGCAGGAUGCCAUGCAGAGGGUAGUUCUUUCAAUACCAGAUCAAAACCAACAGAAGCCAAAUCCUCAGCCGUCUGUCCGAGGGAUGUCUGGUGGUGGGGCUGGAUGUACAGACAGAUGACAGAGGCGAGGAGCUGUCCCCUCUACCUAUUUUGGAAAAUGGGGGUACCUCCUGCACAGGGCAGGGGCAGUCAGGCAGCCCCCUGCUCAUCAGUG
rnacentral:lncRNA from 1 species